CCUCAAGAUGAGACUUCUCAUCAGCAAUGAGUAAGACCCCUUACAGACGAUGAGGUAGAUAGGUUAUGAGUGGAAGAGCCGCAAGGCUUGGAGCGACAUAAAACUAAUAGGUCGAGGUCUUAACUUA
rnacentral:rRNA from 1 species